rnacentral:rRNA from 1 species
AUUGAACGCUGGCGGAAUGCUUUACACAUGCAAGUCGAACGGCAGCACGGGGGCAGCCCUGGUGGCGAGUGGCGAACGGGUGAGUAAUACAUCGGAACGUGCCCGGUCGUGGGGGAUAACGUAGCGAAAGUUACGCUAAUACCGCAUACGAUCUGAGGAUGAAAGCGGGGGACCUUCGGGCCUCGCGCGAUCGGAGCGGCCGAUGUCAGAUUAGGUAGUUGGUGGGGUAAAGGCCUACCAAGCCGACGAUCUGUAGCUGGUCUGAGAGGACGACCAGCCACACUGGGACUGAGACACGGCCCAGACUCCUACGGGAGUCAGCAGUGGGGAAUUUUGGACAAUGGGCGCAAGCCUGAUCCAGCCAUUCCGCGUGCAGGACGAAGGCCUUCGGGUUGUAAACUGCUUUUGUACGGAACGAAAAGGCUCUGGCUAAUACCUGGGGCUCAUGACGGUACCGUAAGAAUAAGCACCGGCUAACUACGUG